rnacentral:lncRNA from 1 species
CCGGGAGGUGCCGCUGCCCGGCGGUGCGCGGUCGGAGCCCUCCCGGUAAGGGCUGAGAUAGGGGGAGGCGGCCCCCCCCGGGUCCGGGCGGCGGGAGAGGAGCGAUGCGGGCGCGGCGCCCCCGGGGAAAAGGGGAAAAGUCUGCAUUGAGCUGGAGGGCGCUCUGAGCACUGGUGGAGCUGUGGGUGUCUCUGUGCACUGCAAGGAAUGGGACCGGACGGCCCUCGGGGGUCCUUCCAACUCCAACCGUUCUGUGGGUCUAUGAAAACCUGAAGCUCAGCAGAGCACAGAGAGCGCUGUGAAUGACAGCAACACCGGCGCACAGAGACACGGUCAGUGUGUUUGUGCCAGGCUGGCACAAAGGUAUUUCCCACCGAGGUUGCCCGCUGGGCGAUGUGCCUGUCAGGAGUAGCGCUGGACGCUAAUUACUGCUCUAAUCACGUUGGGUUCCAUUUGCGGCCGACCCUUUUUAUCACAGCUUUAUCAUCACGUUUAUACGCAGCCACUGCUGUGGGGAGGCAGCCUGGGCUCUGCAC